UAUAUUCUUUGUGAUUUCUUAUACCAUGUUUAUUACUGUUUUUAUCUGAAGAAGUCCUUCAGUUCAGGAUUAGAAGCUUCUGUGAUGUGUGUUUUUUCUUCCAAGUUCUUGUGGAGAAAACUAUGUAAGCAGUAUGUUUGUUCUGGAUUUUUCUGUCACUGUUAUUCUCUAUUGGUAAUAACUUAAUUUAACUUUAACUUAAAAUCUGCUUUCAUUAGCAUCUGGAAAGUCUUUAUAGCUUGCCUGUGUCUAACAAUUUGUGAAGUAUUUCCUUUGAGAACCAUUCCAUACUUGCUGCAUUCACAGUCCUGAAACACAUGGAUGCUCUAGGAUGGCUGCAGAUGAGAAUUUGUCGGUAGUGUAGACUUCUCUGAUCUUAAUGUUCUUCUGUCCACCACUUCUGAGGAAAAGAAUGUGGGCAGCAUAUGCUUUGACCAAAGCAUUUAUUUGCAGGGAAGGAGUAAGUUUUGCUAUAAGUGGGACAGACACAGAGAUGACUCUCAGAACAACUUGCUUGAGUUUAUCUUGUAAAUCUCAGCACCUAAAAAUUUAGACUAUAGAGUAGCAUUCUCCUAUAUAAUGUUUCCUGCUGUCGUAGUAUCUUUAUUCACUCACGGGUUGUGAAAUACUUGUAUACAGAGUGUCUUACUGCCAGAUGUCACAAUGACCCAUUUUGUUUAUUAGUUGUCUGGCCUGGGUAUCUCAAAAUCUUUAUUGCUGGAAAUGUACCUGAUAGGAAUACAUAAAUACUUUUGGGUAUGACAUUUUGUUCUUAAAGUUGCUGAAGUUCCACUUUGAAGUGGCAGUAAUUCUACAGGUGGGAACAUCAGCAGCGCAGAGUUUGGGCUUGGAUUGCUCUGCCAUUAACUUGAUCCAUUUUGGCGUUAUUACAGAGUUUAUCCUCGUCUCUGUCUCACAUUGCAGUAUGUAUAUCCAAGCAAGAGAUUGUAUCACUGGAGCUGUCAAGGAUCAUACUGCCUGCAAAGUGAGCCUAGGGGAGCAGCCUGCAGAUGCCCGAGUUUGUUGUCCAGCUGGUGUUCUGAGGUAUGGUUCUGCCAUACCUUUACUUUUUUCUGUUUGUGUAAGUGGGCACCUGUUGAGACUGGGCCUCCUUGCUUCAUUGUUCUAAGCAGUACUUCUAAGGAAAAGCAAGCUGCAACAGGUAGCUGUAACCAUAAGAGAUGAAGAGAGCAAUGAGCACAACUGCAAGGCACUGUGGGUGCCCAGGCCAACAAUUUGUGCACCACGUAAAAGUGAAGGAGAUGUUCCAAUAGUCCCUUUGUCCACACUUUAUUAUGGAUUCUGCACCAGCCUUUUAUGCAGGUUGCUGUGGGGCCCUUUGAAAGAGUCAAGGAAGUGGGUAAAGAAUUUGUAUUUGCGAAGUCUGAGAGCAUAAAAUAUAGCUGUACUGGGACAGGUAGGAGAACACGGACAUGCUGUGAAAUAAGAUUAUCUGAUAGUAAUUAGAACCUGGAACUGACAGCUGUUUUUACCAGGCUAUAUGUAAAAUUAUGGUCCUGGCUUAAGGAUUCAUGUUUCCUACUUUAGGCCAGUUGUGUGAGAUGAACUGAGUAAUUCAAAAGUUGUGCCAUUUUGAGAAGGAGGAUUAAUGUUCCGAACAAGGGUCUGUAUUACCAGCCCAGUCAUCACACAGAAAUAAACCUCUUCCUCUUAAGAAGUUACACUGGAAUGUUUGACUCACAGGAAGCAAGUAAAAGUGAAAUCUCUAUGAUUCAGCUAUAGCUAAAACAGUUGUUUGUUCUUUCUAAUCUGGGUUUGUUUUCACACUUUGUUUUAUUUAUUUAUUUAUUUAUUUAUUUAUUUAUUUUAUUUUAAUUUUUGGCUGAAUAACAUUUAUGUACUGCAAGUACUGACAAAAAAAAAAAAUUCAUCUAGUUAGUUCAAGGUGUAUGCGACUCUAUUAAAGAUGUUCAAAGGUGAAGAGAGCUGAAUUAUGCUCACACAGUGUCACGGUCUUUUCUGCUUCUCUGGCUGGGGGUGCACCCGAAGCUGGGAGGGGACACAGGGCUGCCAUUGCUCAGGGACUGGCUGUGAUCAGUCAGCUGGUGGUGAGAAAUUGAGUGGUGCAUCGCUGCUUUUGGGUAUUCUUUCCCUUUUAAAAUUUUAUUUCCCUCCCCUCCCUUCCAUAUUAAACUUAUUUAUUUAUUUAUUUCCCCCCCUCAACUCUCUCCCUCGUUCCAGUGGUGGGAGGGGUGAGGGAACAGCUGUGUGCUCUGCUGAGCUGCCUGCUGAGUUAAACAUCACCAGACUUUGCUUGAUGGACAAACUUUUGAGUUGUUCAGGUUAAAUUUGCUGUGGACACAAGUAAUCUGAGAGGUUAAGACUGUAAUUUAAUUACAAAAAAAGAAGAAAAAAAGAAAAUUAUAGUGAAGGAACUCUAUGUCUUCAAUUGUGUAAGGCAGAGGAAUGAUAGUUCUGUGUUCUUUGGGCUACUUUUCUGAUAUUUUAUUUUAAAUGUCAGCAAUAACAGACACUAAUUUUAAAGUAAAAUUUAACUUAGUCACUCACAUUAAAAGUCAGCAAUUUUUAUGCCCUAUUUCAGGUAAUGAUUACCUACAUGAAAUGAAAAAAUCCGUUUAAGCAAACCAAGGUAAAUAUCGAUCUGGAAUUCAAGACAAACAGAAUUUUCUGAUUAGAUAGAUUAUGUCAGUUCACUAAAACUGAGCCUUUGGUGAUGUAAAUACUGAUUGAUUUUGCUAGACCUAGACAAAGAUGAGCAACAGUGAUGUCUGCGUGACAAUUAACUGAAAGUCUUGUGACUGGAUUAAUUACAACUGUUUCUGCUACAAUGUGCACAUUUCUGCUCAGAUUCCUGCCAGAAGCGCCCCGGUCUCUUGCAUCCCCAGAGCAUGCCAUGCUUGCGGGGGUGUCUGCGAUCCACUAACCUUGUCCUAACACAGAAUAACUUUGAGAGCAACAAAAGGGCCUUCUGGAAAGGCCGAAUCUGGUGGAAGCUGGGCUGAUGUGGCCGGGUGAUGGUGUGCUGCUGCCUGCAGCCUGGCUGGGUGUGCUUGAGUCAACUCAGAGCCUCAGGAACCGGUUUUUCGGUGCAGCAGGGAAAACACACCCCAGGCACCUCCCUCGGCAGCAGGCAUGGGGCUCCUUCCCUCAGGGGAGGAGGAAGAGGAGCUGCCAGCCAUGAUGAAGGGGCUGAGCCACCUGUUUGGUGCCAGGGAGGAUGUGAUGCAUGGAGAAGCGGCGGCCAACCACAACAGCUUAUUACCAGAUGAAAGAGAAUUUCAACGUGCUGCAAAAAUGAACAAUUUGGAAACCAUGGAAAAGCUGUUUAAAAAGAGUGUUAAUAUAAACGCUGUAGAUACUCUGAAGCGCACAGCAUUGCAUUUUGCUGUUGCAAGAAGCCACACAUCUGCGGUGGAUUUUCUCCUCCAUCACAAAGCUAGACUUGAUAUGGCAGAUCAGCAUGGCCUGACAGUGAUUCAUCUUGCAGCUUGGACUGGAAAUCUGGAUGUAAUGCGAAAAUUAGUUAAAGCAGGCGCUGAUCAAAAGGCAAAGAAUGAGGAAGGAAUGAAUGCACUGCACUUUGCAGCCCAGAACAACAGUGUUAAAAUAGUUGAUUAUUUUCUCCAAGAUCUUCAUCUGACUGACUUGAACAAGCCUGAUGGGAAAGGUAGAAAGCCAUUUCUCCUGGCAUCUGAAAAAGGCCAUGUUGACAUGAUAAAUGACUUGAUUGCUCUAAAGCUGUUCACAUCUGAAAAAGAUCAGGAGGGAAACACCGCCUUGCAUCUAGCAGCCAAAAACGGACACAGUGAAGUCGUAGAAAUUCUGCUCAAACAGUGGGAGGAAAUAAAUGACCUCAAUCAGAAUGGAGAAACACCAUUUUACUUGUCUGUUGAAGGCGGUCAUGAAAAAUGUGCUGAGCUGUUACUAGAAGCAGGGAGUGACAUCAACGUUUUAACUCACAACAACAGCAGUGCAUUGCAAAUUGCAAUUCAGAAUGGACAUCUAUCUUUGGUUACUUUUCUUAUUGAUAACAAUGUUGAUCUGGCCCCUAAACCUGAGCAGAAGAAUUCUCCGCUCCAUUUAGCAGUCAUCAAUAAUCAUCUGCCGGUAGUAAAAGCACUCUUGGAUGCUAAUCAUGAUAUAAACUUCUUAAAUCAUCAUCACCCUCAGGAGGGAUGUCGCAGGUCUCUGUGGCGCAAUCGGUCAGCGCGUUCGGCUGUUAACCGAAAGGCUGGUGGUUCGAGCCCACCCAGGGACGUGGGUGCCCAUUUUCCUGCAGGUGGGGACAUGAGUCCAUGGUGUUUGGCCUCUUGGCUGAUCCACAGCAUCAUGGCCCCCACCGUGGAGGGAGAGGAGUCCUCCAUAUUUGCAUGUCUGCCCACUCUCAUGGAUUGUGGGACACUUCUGGACUGCGUCUGGAGGUUAUUGUCCAUGUCUCUGUAGACCACCACCAACCAUGAAUCCCCUCCGAUUCUGGACGCCUUCCUCUCUGCUAAUCCACUGGCUGAUGACAAUGUAUUUACUGUGGCUGCCAAUUUACACACUCCCUCACAUGUUUCCAUGCUUGGUCCCUUGUCAACUUGUUUUCAGUUUUUGUUCUUUGAGUGUUGUUUACUACUCUCUUUUGCUUUGCCUGGGGAAGCCACGACAAAGGCACUAGCCUUGAGCUUCUUGUGGUAUUUGGGCCCUUCACAGCUGCUGUCCCCAUGCUCUGAGAACCAUCUCAUGGAGAAAAUUAACAAUUACAUCUUUUCUCCUUUUCUCUUCUGAGAGAUGUUUUGUGGAGAGAGAAAAGAAUGGCACCUACCUUUCCUAUCCUCCAGGAAAAUAAGUCUUUCCACCCCCGUUUUAAGGCCUCUUGGUUCCUUGAUUAUCCUUGCAUAAUCAGACUGUUUGCACCAGUGUGUGUGUUGUGAUUCUGAGUGUUGUUUGUAAGGUUACACAACUCAUUGGGAAUGCCACCUGGAACAUGUCCCAGGGCAGUAGAUCAGUGGGUGGCAGGCUGCUUGGAGGAGCUGUGCAGGUGCCCCAAGCCAUUCUUGUCGCCCAUAGCCUGGGUUUCACACCUGAAUGGGCACAUAAUCCCACUGACCCCAUGCAUGGUUUGAAAGAGGGGAGCCCUGCCUACCCUGGGGAAACAUGGGGAUUUCUGACGCUGUGCUGAGGCCUGGCACGUUCCUGUUGGGCUGCUGCCGAAAGGCCUUGGGAGAGACAGAGAGAGAUUGUCCCACCAGGGCCGCUGAGGCCCAUGCGAGGCAUAGCCCGCCUCCCACCUGAUAGACAGGGAUGUUCCCUGCCAUACUGGCCAGAAAUAGUCUCCAAGGAAUCUGUAAUUUGUCCCAACUCGUGGUGCAUUUAACUGCUGAAGAUUAAUUUAGGAGUUUCACGUGUAUUCCCCAAAGAGCUCCUGUGAGACUUUAUGUGGAAUCCUUGUGGCUGGCUCUCUUGGUGUGUAAGGUCACGGUGCAUGGCUCUACAACACUGAAGUUAAGGUGGGAUUUAAUACUUAUCUAAAGGUGAAAUGACAUCUCCAACCAUCUUUCUCCUAGCUCCUUGUGCAGCCCCAGCCUUCUCACUGGCAGGGCAGCAUGAGGAGCUGAGAAGGCUUUGGCUUAGCAUAAGUACCACUCAGCAACAACUGAAACAUCAACGUGUUAGCAGCAUUAUUUUCAUCCUAAACAGCACUGUACCAGCUACUAGGAACAGAGUUAACUCUAUCAUCCCAGCUGAAAGCAUGGCAGUCACAAAACCUUCAAUUAAAAAAGGUUGCUGUAUCACGUGAAAUGUGCUAAGGGACAUGUCCACCUACACAAGGUUUCCGUAAAUGAGAACACACCACAUUUGCUGCUGCGUUUCUCCCAUAGACAUCUGGAAUACUUUCCUGUAAGUGCAAAUAGUAGAAGAAAAGAACAAGAGGCAAACACUUCUUAGUGAAUAGGAAAUGCGUUCUUAUUACUAGACUGAUAAAUUCCCCAGGGGCUGCUAGUUUCUUACUGACAUUCUGUAGAAGGGUAAAUAAAUGGAUUUUAUUUGGGUAAAUGAAGCUGCAUAAAGACCACACAACCCUAAUUUCAGGCCAAAAGAUUAGACUUGAAACUGAAUGUUCCUUGACCUGUACUUUAUGUUAAUGGUUUGGUCUUUUGUAAAGUUUGUUUUGUUUUGUUUCAUUUUAUUUUACUGUGGUUUAAGGUUCACUGGACACUCCAUAUCAUCAUAUUGUGGCAGAGCUGGCUAAGAAACCCUGUCACGGACUGUGGCACAAUGUGCUGUUGAAAAUCAAGGUUGUCCAGUUGUUUCUGCAUGAAUUUCAGCAGGGAAAGAUUACUUGAGAGGCUAGCAUGGCAGUUGGCACUUGCAUGAAUCACUCUAUCCAAAGCACCUUGUUUUAAGAAGAGGCAGGAAACUCCUCUGCAUCUGGCAGCUGAUCUUGGCAAUGUGGAGCUGGUGGAAAUGUUGCUGAAGGCAGGCUGUGACCUCAAGACCACGGAUAAG